rnacentral:lncRNA from 10 species
GCUGUUGACCAUGGUCAAAGGAAUCUCACCGAAUCACAGUUUUCUCCCCUAUAAAUUUGGGAAUGAUAGUACUUUUCUUGUAGGUUGGUUAGGAGAAUUAUUUUUAAUCAUAGUAAUAGGUAAUGUUAUUGCUGCUUCCUGUGUGCUGGAAACUUUCUAAACUCAAAGCAUUUAGCACAGUGUGCGGCAUUUCUGAGUGUCAGGAAGUGUCAGCUGCUGCUGCUGCUGCUGCGAUCGUAGCUCUCAUAAAACUCAAGUAGGCUGUUCCUUUCUUAAGUCUCCUCCAUUGUAAACUCCAGAGGUAGUUUAACCCCCUGUCCACUGUCAGAGGUAGUUUAACUCCCCCUCCAUUGUCCAGAGGUAGUUUAACCCCCCUCCAUUGCCCAGAGGUAGUUUAACCCCCCUCCAUUGCCCAGAGGUAGUUUAACCCCCCUCCAUUGCCCACAGGUAGUUUAACCCCCCUCCAUUGCCCACAGGUAGUUUAACUCCCCCUCCAUUGUCCAGAGGUAGUUUAAACCUCCUCUGUUGUCCAGAACUAGUUGAAACUGACAUCAUGGUCCUUUUUCAAUCCGAUACCAUCCUGGCUUUUAAUUGUAUCUCUUCCCGUCUCUGGGGAGUCCUCCCUGUGUGCUCAGAGUGCUCUGUUUCACGUUGCUGUGCUCCACAGGUGCUCAUGCUUUCUGGUCCAGUGCAAUGCCACAGCCUCUGCCUGCCCUUCCUCCUGAAUAAAGAGACAGUUCUUCCUUUGUGUGGCCACAGCAGUUGGCACAUACUUGAGUGGGAGCAAUUACUGCACUGAAUUUCUAUUAUGUAUUUGCUUAGCCUUCAGAUAUGAACUCAGCCUUUCUCCGAGCCUGGCUCAGAGUACCUGCGGCACCCAUAGCAGUUGUCAUUUUCUGUUGCUUUUCUGCCCUCCUCACGCCGCCAGAUACUCCUCAAGACAGAGCCCUUAUGUUCCGAAUGGUGACCCCUAGCACCCUCGGUGAUUCCUGCACAGUGCCUUGGUUGGUGCGGCCAUACUCCUACCCCAGAGUCCUGCUUUGAAUGCACUAAAAAGUAUAAAUAUUAGCAUGGCACUGGAGUAGAGCAUGGGGGCAUCUCAGGAAUAUGGACUUGGAGUUCUCCCAAUUUUUUCCUCCUACGGGUCCACGGGGUCCCUUUGUCCCCCUCAGAUGCACUGCCAGGCAGUGCAGGUGCUGGGGGCUCGAGAGUGGAAGAAGCUGCAUGGCAGAGGACCUCAGCUCUUGGUGCGCUUUGACUCGACAGGUACUUUUAUCCCUUGCUGUUUGUGAUUCUUGCUGUAAAUAAGUCUUGUAAGAUCUAACAGGACAUAGCUGUAAGCAUAGAGAAUCACAAAGACCCUCAAUGACUUAGAGGAUAUGUUUUACAGGUAUGUUCUUCCUGAGAACUUAGUCUUCAGCAGUGGCCUAGAUGAUGUUCCAUUUUAUACAUACAGUAAAAUUUUAAUAUUUUCAAUGGAUGGGUGAAUAAAUAAAGUUGCAGCAUUUAUUUACUAAUUGUUUCUUCUUUUAAAAGAGUAUUUUUCUUUACCUAUAUAUGCUGUCACCAAUCUGUUUCUGUCUAUAGUGAGAUAGGUAUUUUUUUGGUCUCUGUAAUGUUUAUGCAUAAGAAUAUUAAGAUUGAAGAGGAUAUUUUGGUUGUUUAGCCAGAGAUCCAGAAAUGCCCAACCCCAGCUCUAAGUGGUAUAUUCAGAAGAGGUCAUUUAUCAGCUCAUUUAAUGGGAAAGUGCAGAUGGAGGUUUGUUUUCAGUUUCAGACAUCAUCUCUCAACUCUCUAACCUGUUUCUCGCAACUUGAUGUCAUUCUUAGGCUCCAGGUGGCAGGAAUGUGGCUGGCCAGGUGUCAGGCUGGUGUUUUCCAGGUGGGAUGAUGAGAAAAUAGUGUGCACUUCUCUGUCUUCAUUGAAAAACCUCUGACCCACCUCUUCACGACCCAGUCACCUGCCCGAGGUUCUUGGAGGCUGGGGCUGGCUAGGCCUGAGUCUGAGAUCUACCUGUGAGGCUGCAGGCCUGGCCAUUCUCACCCCAGCACAGGAGUAGCGCUGGAGCUGGGUAGUUCUCUAGAGGGAAAUGAGGGUGUUGUGACCAGAAGAGGAGUGAGCUCAUGUUGGGCUAUAAAACAACCACGUCGUCCUUGCUUUCCUUCAAAGAGUGCUCCUGAGACUGCUUUUCUAAGGCUCUUUCUGAUCCUCAUCAGUUUCCCAGUGAGCCUUCUUCAUGCCUCCUUGAGUCUCUGUAGCUCAUUCUGUUAUAGACCAGAGUGGGAUGUCUAUAUGUCCCCCUAAUUGGGUUUCAAGUUCCUGAGAGGUAAAGACUAUUUUUCUACCUUUCUCCCACAACCCUUGGCAUGUGUCAGAUUCUCAACAAGUGUUUCAGAGAGGCCACAGGCAAAGAGGAUGUGGAAUUUGGGAUCAGACACACCUGGCUUCCUGUUGGGGCUCUUUUGCUUAUUGGCUGAGCAGCCUUUGGAAGAUCAUUUUCCUUCUGUGAACUUAGUUUC